rnacentral:tRNA from 1 species
GGUUCUAUGGUGUAAUGGUUAGCACUUUGGACUCUGAAUCCAGCGAUCCAAGUUCAAAUCACGGUAGGACCU